rnacentral:lncRNA from 1 species
CAUCAUCACAUCAUCACCAUCACAGCCAUGUGUGCAAGGAGCGGCGUCGGGCGAAACACGCGGGCCCAGCAGGCGCGGCAGGUCCGAGCCAGCUCCGUGGUCAGGGGUCCGCCGCUGGUCCGAGGAGCUCCCGCCGGAACCGCCGGAGCUCGUCCUCGAGAGGGCGCCCUCCCCCGAGGGCGCCCGAGCCGGAGGGGGGGCCCACCAUCCAGGGGGAGUUCACCAUCGAGAGGCAGCCCCCCGACAUCGAGGCCCUCGAUCUGGCGCAAGGCGACGCCCUCCAGGCGCAGCACCCGUUAUACAUAGAGGUGGAGAUCGAGGGUAAGGAGCGCGACGCGGAGGUGGUGGAGGAGCCGGAGAUCGUGAUCUUGCCGGAGCGUCGUAGGCGGCGGCGGAGGCGGAGGAGGAGGCGGAGGGUGGAACGAGAGAGGGGCCCGAGCAAGAUCGACCCCGAGGACCUACCAAACGCGCCCGCUGGACCAUCAUCAUCACCGCCGGUCUCCUCCUCAUGACCUGCAUGCUCCUCGUCGGCAUCACCCUCAGGAUGGCCCCUAUCAUCGAUCAAAUCGGUAAGGACAGCACUAGAGUCCCUUUGACUAUAUAUAUAUAUAUAUAUAUAUAUAUAUAUUAUAUAUAUAUAUAUAUAUAUAUAAUAUAUAUAUAUAUAUAUAUAUAUACCCAGAGUUAAGACAUCUCGAUUAUCAGCUGGCUAGCAGCCGGCCUGGGCUGGCCAUGGAGGCACAAAAGAGUGCACUCAAACGAACGAUCUUGAGGGACAAGGAUAAGAAAUCCUCCGAUGUCUGUCAUCCAAAAACACAACAACAUCAACGAACUGAUCAAAACCUAACCCGAAAAAUUGCAAUAAAAUAAAAUCAUAUUGAUUUGUGGAUAAUUUCUUAAUCUAUUUUCACUUUGGUGCAAUGAAAAUAACAAUUUACUCUUGAUAAACCACAAUUAGGUUAUAUUUUCAUUAGUUUUGUUUACAUUCGAGGCACCGCGCCAUCUUGGUGCACUCAUUUGUGGCUCCAUGAGCGAGGUCUAAUCGGAAUUGGAUUUUUUUAGGCCACUUUCAGCCCAACCGAGCUCGACCACAAAUGGGAUGUCGUAACUCUGGGUAUAAAGGGACUCUAGACAGCACCAGUACUCUGCCGUGCUAAGGAAAAACGCCGCAUGCACCUGCAGGCGUUGCCAAAUUACAUACUUAGAAGCCGCUUUUACAGCACUCUGCGACUCCCAGCCGCCAAAGUCUCUUAUCCUUCAGGGAGUUGGUACUCCCUCAUUUCCUCUAGAACCCCUGUUGCCAAAUUUCCUUUAAUAAAACACGACUUUACCGGUAAACGUGUGAAUAUUUUUCCUCCAAUUUUUCAGAUAGUUUUGUUCGCACUUUCACCCAAAGUUCCUGAAAUUUUCAGGGGGAAAUAUUCAUAAAUUUCCUCGAAAAGAAACAUUUCAGUGAAGGAAAUUUGGCAACUCUCGAAUGUUCAUACGGCGUUCUUCCUGCUUAGCACAGCAGACUGUAGAAGGAACACCUUCCCCUCCCCCAGUGAAGCGCAAAAAGGCAAAUUUUGCGAGUGGAUUGUACCGAAGUUUUU